GGGCGGUUAGCUCAGCGGUAGAGCAUUGCCUUGACAUGGUAGGGGUCACAGGUUCGAUCCCUGUACCGCCCACCA
rnacentral:tRNA from 1 species